GCAAGAUCAUGCAUCCUCCAUGACUAGGCUACUUUGGGUUCGAGUUCCAGAAUCAAGCAAUAGCUCUUUGAAAUCAAAUGAUUCAAUGAUCUCGUUCAUGGGAUAGAACUUAACACAGAUCAAGAUCACGAUCUCGUUUAAUCUCUUUCCUCUUUCUCGUUGUUUGUUGGUUCUUGAUUUAAGUUACAAUAAGUACUUGAGUAAUCUUGAUAUAAUUAACUAUGUCCGUGAGGACUUUGAAUUUGUCAGCUUGGUGGCCGGUCCUUUUCUAAAAAGUGAUUGUGGGAUUUUGUUAGUAUUCGACUUUAUUAUUAUUA
rnacentral:lncRNA from 1 species